rnacentral:RNase_P_RNA from 10 species
GGAAGGAAGCUCACUGUAGAGGUCACUCGCUGGGUGUCUUGAUCACCCCCGUUGCUACCUUGGGGAAGGUCUGAGAGAAGGGCCAAGUGUCGUCCUAGCAGGGCGCCAUCUUAGGAAGGUGGGUGAGUUCCCAGCAAUAUGGAUCUCCAGUAAAGCCCUACUUUGAGGCAGGAGAAGCAGGGCUGGGGGGGUUCCCUCCUCCCUGCGGAUGCCUCCGUGGCUUACUCGGGGUUUGGGAAUGACUCACGGCCGGCAACGUUGAGUACAAUGGGCAGAGGUGGAGCACCCGCUUCAUAACCCAAUUCAGACCACUCUCCGGAAUUCC